GCUGGGAAGAUACAAUGUUGGCAAACAGGGAGCUGGUUCCAGGAAAGAAGGGCACAUGAGCAAACAUGAUGGCCCCUUUAUGAGAGAUGGAAUAAAAAGGCCUACCUCAUUGGGCUCGUGUGGGUGAGGAGAACUGAAGAGUCUGAGAGCGCGGCACGAGCCAGAGGCUACGGAAAACACUGCCCUCCUACACUCCACCUUGGAGAGACCCAGAAAAGAACAAGCUUCAUUUGUAAAAAAGGAAAACAACUCAGGCAAUGGGGGUGGCUUAAAGGCACUCUACAGUGUGCAGAUGCCUUCCACUUCUUCCAUCUGCCCUGUCUCUCCAAGAACCCCUAUGGCCCCGGUCUCAGAACAGAGCUGAGUGCAGAAAUGAAAAUCUAUGGCUCUGUGUUCCAAAACGAUGAAGAAUUUCAAGAUGGUGGCAGUGGUAAAAUCUUUCUCCAGGAAAAAUCUGUCCUUGGCCCAAUGUGUAAACACUUGCUGAGGAACUUGGAAUAACUUGCAGUGUCUUGCAGUAUUGUGAAACCAGCAACUUGUUCACAAUUCUUCUGAAUUUCUUGGGAAAUUUGAAGUGGAGUACCUGUACCAACAUGAAAUGACACGAAUUUAAGUGACGCUCAACAACGAAAAGCAAAAAGAACCAAAGAGGAAGCAACUGAAACAACAUCUGGAUGUAUUUAAAAAUAUACAAUGCCUCCAAAAUCAGGUGUCAUUAAUGAAAAUUCUGAAGAAAUGCCACCGGACAUAGCCAACGCACCUACGCUGUUGUUAUUCAUUUCCUGCUUUUCACAGAAAACAAUUUUGUUGCAUGGAAGAUCGUGAACUUCAAAGGGCAGAGGGGAAACUGUCCCUUGGCCUCUACCCCUCCAAGGCCCCACUUUUUUGUCAACACUCCUUGGACGCAGCAGAAGUAUGAACAUAAUAUGGUCCUGAAUGAGGCUGAGUCUUUGGGCGCAGAAGACCCGGGUUAAUAAAAAUAGGAAGGUAAGAAAAGAAAAGAAAAAUCAAGACACAUCAUAGGACUAAAUUCCUAUUAUUUAUCCACUCAGGAUUGACCACCCCUUUGGGCCAGAUAGUUGUACCCCCAUGUACCAGGUGGGCACAUGAAGACACAAGAAGUGCUGUGAUGGUUCAUUUUGCACGUCACCUUGCGUGGAGUAUGCCAACUCAUUGUUUGGUCAAACACUAGUCUGGACAUGGUGGUAAAGGUAUUUUUUAGAUGAGAUUAACACUUAAAUCAGUAAAGCAGGUUACCCACCAUACUACGGGUGGGCCCUGUCCAAUCAGUUGAAGGCAUUAAGAACAAAGAUUGAGGUUUCCUAAAGAAGAUGGAAUUCUCCUUGAGACUACAACAUAGAAACCCUAUCUGAGUUUCCAGCCUGUUGCCCUGUGGAAUUCAAACUCAGGACUCCGGUCUAUGACAUUAACCCUCACUUAACUUUUCAGCCUGCCAGCCUGCCCUAUGGAUUUCGGACUUGCCAGCCACACAAUUCCUUAAAAUAAAUCUCUCCGUCUCU
rnacentral:lncRNA from 1 species